rnacentral:rRNA from 1 species
UACGUAGGGGGCAAGCGUUGUCCGGAUUUAUUGGGCGUAAAGAGCGUGUAGGCGGUUUGGUAGGUCCGCUGUGAAAACUCGAGGCUCAACCUCGAGACGCCGGUGGAAACCAUCAGGCUAGAGUCCGGAAGAGGAGAGUGGAAUUCCGUGGAUGUAGCGGUGAAAUGCGCAGAUAUCAGGAAGAACACCCGUGGCUAAGGCGGCUCUCUAGUACGGUACUGACGCUGAGACGCGAAAGCGUGGGGAGCGAACAGG